rnacentral:rRNA from 1 species
AUUGAACGCUGGCGGCAGGCUUAACACAUGCAAGUCGAGCGGGGGAAGGUAGCUUGCUACCGGACCUAGCGGCGGACGGGUGAGUAAUGCUUAGGAAUCUGCCUAUUAGUGGGGGACAACAUCUCGAAAGGGAUGCUAAUACCGCAUACGUCCUACGGGAGAAAGCAGGGGAUCUUCGGACCUUGCGCUAAGAGAUGAGCCUAAGUCGGAUUAGCUAGUUGGUGGGGUAAAGGCCUACCAAGGCGACGAUCUGUAGCGGGUCUGAGAGGAUGAUCCGCCACACUGGGACUGAGACACGGCCCAGACUCCUACGGGAGGCAGCAGUGGGGAAUAUUGGACAAUGGGGGGAACCCUGAUCCAGCCAUGCCGCGUGUGUGAAGAAGGCCUUAUGGUUGUAAAGCACUUUAAGCGAGGAGGAGGCUAUUCUAGUUAAUACCUAGGGAUAGUGGACGUUACUCGCAGAAUAAGCACCGGCUAACUCUGUGCCAGCCGCCGCGGUAA